rnacentral:rRNA from 1 species
AGCGGCGGACGGGUGAGUAACGCGUGGGUAACCUGCCUCAUACAGGGGGAUAACAGUUAGAAAUGGCUGCUAAUACCGCAUAAGACCACAGCACCGCAUGGUGCAGGGGUAAAAACUCCGGUGGUAUGAGAUGGACCCGCGUCUGAUUAGGUAGUUGGUGGGGUAACGGCCUACCAAGCCGACGAUCAGUAGCCGACCUGAGAGGGUGACCGGCCACAUUGGGACUGAGACACGGCCCAA